rnacentral:rRNA from 1 species
UGGCCAGGCUGUCUCCACCCGAGACUCAGUGAAAUUGAACUCGCUGUGAAGAUGCAGUGUACCCGCGGCAAGACGGAAAGACCCCGUGAACCUUUACUAUAGCUUGACACUGAACAUUGAGCCUUGAUGUGUAGGAUAGGUGGGAGGCUUUGAAGUGUGGACGCCAGUCUGCAUGGAGCCGACCUUGAAAUACCACCCUUUAAUGUUUGAUGUUCUAACGUGGACCCGUGAUCCGGGUUGCGGACAGUGUCUGGUGGGUAGUUUGACUGGGGCGGUCUCCUCCUAAAGAGUAACGGAGGAGCACGAAGGUUGGCUAAUCCUGGUCGGACAUCAGGAGGUUAGUGCAAUGGCAUAAGCCAGCUUGACUGCGAGCGUGACGGCGCGAGCAGGUGCGAAAGCAGGUCAUAGUGAUCCGGUGGUUCUGAAUGGAAGGGCCAUCGCUCAACGGAUAAAAGGUACUCCGGGGAUAACAGGCUGAUACCGCCCAAGAGUUCAUAUCGACGGCGGUGUUUGGCACCUCGAUGUCGGCUCAUCACAUCCUGGGGCUGAAGUAGGUCCCAAGGGUAUGGCUGUUCGCCAUUUAAAGUGGUACGCGAGCUGGGUUUAGAACGUCGUGAGACAGUUCGGUCCCUAUCUGCCGUGGGCGCUGGAGAACUGAGGGGGGCUGCUCCUAGUACGAGAGGACCGGAGUGGACGCAUCACUGGUGUUCGGGUUGUCAUGCCAAUGGCACUGCCCGGUAGCUAAAUGCGGAAGAGAUAAGUGCUGAAAGCAUCUAAGCACGAAACUUGCCCCGAGAUGAGUUCUCCCUGACCCUUUAAGGGUCCUGAAGGAACGUUGAAGACGACGACGUUGAUAGGCCGGGUGUGUAAGCGCAGCGAUGCGUUGAGCUAACCGGUACUAAUGAACCGUGAGGCUUAACCUUACAACGCCGAAGCUGUU